GACGUAGGAUGCGAGCGUUAUUCGGAUUUAUUGGGCGUAAAGCGUGCGUAGGCGGCUGUUUAAGUCUGGUGUUAAAGCUAGGGGCUCAACCCCUGUGGUGCAUCGGAUACUGGGCAGCUUGAGUGCGGUAGGGGCAGAGGGAAUUCCUGGUGUAGCGGUGAAAUGCGUAGAGAUCAGGAAGAACACCGGUGGCGAAAGCGCUCUGCUAGGCCGCAACUGACACUGAGGGACGAAAGCUAGGGGAGCGAAUGGG
rnacentral:rRNA from 1 species